rnacentral:lncRNA from 1 species
UCAAAGUAUAUGACUCCAGUUUUGGCAGAAUGGGAUGAAAAGAGAGGUAGUUGAUUUAUUUCUAAGUGUCUGGUAUGACAAUAGGUUAGGCUAGAGCAUCAAUGUCUGGGCGAGUUACUUCAGCCAUUACCGAUCCCAAAGUAGAAGUUGGAACAUAUCACAAUGGAUUUCGUAAUAGGGUUGCCUAAGACACGCUCAAAACAUUAUGUCAUUUGGGUAAUUGUCGA